UCAUUCCUUCGGGGAAUUUGUGUAAGUCAUAAUCGGUGGUACAGCCCACGAGUUCCGAUCAAAUUGGGACAUGAUCUGGUUAAAUUCCAGGGCCGACCGUAAAGUCGGGAUAAAAGAAGGAAAGU
rnacentral:ncRNA from 2 species